rnacentral:rRNA from 1 species
UACGUAUGGUGCAAGCGUUAUCCGGAUUUACUGGGUGUAAAGGGAGCGUAGGCGGCGCGUUAAGUCUGAUGUGAAAACCCGAGGCUCAACCACGGGAGUGCAUUGGAAACUGGCGGGCUGGAGUGCCGGAGAGGUAAGCGGAAUUCCUAGUGUAGCAGUGAAAUGCGUAGAUAUUAGGAGGAACACCAGUGGCGAAGGCGGCUUACUGGACGGCAACUGACGCUGAGGCGCGAAAGCGUGGGGAGCAAACAGG